rnacentral:rRNA from 1 species
UACGUAGGGUGCGAGCGUUAAUCGGAAUUACUGGGCGUAAAGCGUGCGUAGGCGGUUUUGUAAGUCCGAUGGGAAAUCCCCGGGCUUAACCUGGGAAUGGCAUUUGGGACUGCAAGGCUGGAGUGUGGCAGAGGAGACUGGAAUUCCUGGUGUAGCAGUGAAAUGCGUAGAUAUCAGGAGGAAUACCGAUGGCGACGGCAGGUCUCUGGGCUGACACUGACGCUCAUGCACGAAAGCGUGGGGAGCAAACAGG